GGAUUAGAUACCCUGGUAGUCCACGCCGUAAACGAUGUCUACUAGCCGUUGGGGGACUUGAUCUUUUAGUGGCGCAGCUAACGCGAUAAGUAGACCGCCUGGGGAGUACGGCCGCAAGGUUAAAACUCAAAUGAAUUGACGGGGGCCCGCACAAGCGGUGGAGCAUGUGGUUUAAUUCGAAGCAACGCGAAGAACCUUACCAACUCUUGACAUCCAGAGAAGUUACUAGAGAUAGUUUCGUGCCUUCGGGAACUCUGAGACAGGUGCUGCAUGGCUGUCGUCAGCUCGUGUUG
rnacentral:rRNA from 1 species